GUGUUGAUGUUAUAAACUAGACUCAGGAUCUUAAACCAUAGAAACAGUGUUAUAUAAUUUAUUGAAGUGAUCUUGUCUUUGUUGUUUUCCAGGUUAAUAUUUCUUGAUUUUAAAUACCGUAUUAGUGUGUAGGUACUCUUUUAGAAUUCUGAGUUGUUAAGUUUAUGCUAUUGUGAAGCAUCAGUGGAGCAAAACAGGCUUUCUGUGAAAACCAGACUAAGACAUUGAGUUUGAUUCACUGAUAGUUGGAGAGCGCCUUUGUUGAAAAGCUCCUUGAGUCACUAUUGUGGGGGUAUGUGUGUUCCGUUUGCAGAGAUGUAGGACUUUUGGCAGGAGAAUCAUGGGACUGUUGAUAAGGUUAGGAAAGGGGAGUUGUCAUCUCUUCUUAGCAGUUUAAUCCUGCUGGAAGCCAGCCUCUUGGAGAUUGAAAUCAGGACAAAUGGAAGGUCCAAAGAUGCUAACGAUAAAUUAUUAAUAUUUUCAAAUAAUACCACACUUUCAAAACCAGGCCCAAGUUACUGAAACAAGUCAUAAACACGUUAUUAUCAAACUUAGUUUUGAUAUGUCAUAUGGAUAUGUGGGUAACUGCGAAGGAAAUCAUGCCGUUCUAAAAGGGAGCAGUAGGUUAUGUAGUGAAUGCUGUUUUAUCUGGGCAAGAAGUUGGAAUUGUAAUUUUAUUUCAUCAAAAGACACCCUUAUUUUGAGAAGACUUGUUUGAAAUGCAAACAAGAUUUCUCUGUGGAGCCUGCACAGAAUUGUUGCUUUUCACGAUGAUGUUAUUGCCGCAUAACAGUCCACUUCUGUGUGUAGGAAGUGUGUGUGCAAGUCCAAAGGGAUUGGAGGCCUCAAUGGGUGAGUUACACCAAUUAACAAAGGGAAAGUUUUCAGAACAUUUUGUUUUAAGCCAGGUGCACAAGUUAGAGUUGCUUUUUGGGCCUAGUGUUUAUGUAUCUGAGAAUCAAACCUGACACUACUCUUGGCAGCUAGACUAAAGCCAUUUUAAAAUAAGUACAAACUGUCCUUGAAUGAUUUUUUUCCCUUUAUAGUGGCAAUGAGUUUGCCUUUUCUUCAUCUGUGGUAUGUGUGCAAUUUUCUGUUUAUUUGGGGGGAAAGAGGGAGGUAAACAUACAUGAAAGACUUUUAGUCUUUAUAUGAAUAAUGUGUUUCAAUUCAUUUAUUUUUAAAUUUUCUUGAUACUGUAACACAUUAUCUAUAUGUUGACUUUCAUUCACAUUCAUCCAGAGUAUAAUAGAAACCUUAAUUUUAAAGAACCCAGAUGAAUAAUUAGGUUUUAUGUGGCUUUGAGAUAAUUGUUCUUAAACUGAUAUGCAAAGAAAUAGAGUAUCCCUGCCAAUGUGAAUAGACUUUGAUUUAUGUUCU
rnacentral:lncRNA from 1 species